CCCUUAGAUGUUCUGGGCCGCACGCGCGCUACACUGACGAAUGCAACGAGCUUAUAACCUUGGCCGAAAGGUCUGGGUAAUCUCCAAAUUUCGUCGUGAUGGGGAUAGAUUAUUGCAAGUAUUAAUCUUCAACGAGGAAUGCCUAGUAAGCGCAAGUCAUCAGCUUGCGUUGAUUACGUCCCUGCCCUUUGUACACACCGCCCGUCGCUCCUACCGAUUGAAUGGUCCGGUGAAGCGUUCGGACCGUGGCCUUUGGACGGAUCGCCGUCUGUUGGCUGCGGGAAGUUCGUUAAACCUUAUCAUUUAGAGGAAGGAGAAGUCGUAACA
rnacentral:rRNA from 1 species